AUUGAACGCUGGCGGCAGGCCUAACACAUGCAAGUCGAGCGGAUGAAGGGAGCUUGCUCCUGGAUUCAGCGGCGGACGGGUGGGUAAUGCCUAGGAAUCUGCCUGGUAGUGGGGGAUAACGUCCGGAAACGGGCGCUAAUACCGCAUACGUCCUGAGGGAGAAAGUGGGGGAUCUUCGGACCUCACGCUAUCAGAUGAGCCUAGGUCGGAUUAGCUAGUUGGUGGGGUAAAGGCCUACCAAGGCGACGAUCCGUAACUGGUCUGAGAGGAUGAUCAGUCACACUGGAACUGAGACACGGUCCAGACUCCUACGGGAGGCAGCAGUGGGGAAUAUUGGACAAUGGGCGAAGGCCUGAUCCAGCCAUGCCGCGUGUGUGAAGAAGGUCUUCGGAUUGUAAAGCACUUUAAGUUGGGAGGAAGGGCAGUAAGUUAAUACCUUGCUGUUUUGACGUUACCAACAGAAUAAGCACCGGCUAACUUCGUG
rnacentral:rRNA from 1 species